GAUGAACGCUGGCGGCGUGCCUAAUACAUGCAAGUCGAGCGAACAGACGAGGAGCUUGCUCCUUCGACGUUAGCGGCGGACGGGUGAGUAACACGUAGGUAACCUACCUAUAAGACUGGGAUAACUUCGGGAAACCGGAGCUAAUACCGGAUAAUAUUUCGAACCGCAUGGUUCGAUAGUGAAAGAUGGCUUUGCUAUCACUUAUAGAUGGACCUGCGCCGUAUUAGCUAGUUGGUAAGGUAACGGCUUACCAAGGCAACGAUACGUAGCCGACCUGAGAGUGGGAGCGGCAACAGUGGAAGUGAGACGGCGUCCAGACUCCUAAGGGAGGCGCGAUGGGGGAUUCUUCCACAAGGGGGAAACGCCUGACGGAGCAACGCCGCGUGAGUAAUGAGGGUUUACGUACCGAAAAACUCUUUUAUUGGGAAAAAACAAACUUGAAAGAACCUGUGCGCGUUUGGACGGUACCUAAUAAAAAACCCAGGCCACCCUCCGCC
rnacentral:rRNA from 1 species